GGUAAGGUGGCCGAAGCAGGUGCCGAGUUGUAGCCUCGGUUAUAAAGGUCAAGCCCUUUCCUUAUCA
rnacentral:tRNA from 1 species